AGCCCUGGAAAAAAUCCAAGGUGUAACCUGCCCAAUGAUUUUUAAUUAAAUAAUAAUAACAAUAUUAAAAUAAAAUUUAAAGGACGCGGUAACCUUGACCGUGAUAAUGUAGCAUAAUCACUUGCCAUUUAAUUGAUGGAUAGUAUGAAUGGUUAAACGAAUAUUACAUUGUCUUAAAAAGAGAUCUCAUAAAAUUGAAAUAAUAGUUAAGAUGCUAUUUAAAAUUGUAAGACGAAAAGACCCUAUAGAGCUUAACUAUAAUUUCUUUCUUAAAAUUGAAAUAUACAUUUCUAAUAGUAGAGAAAUUGGUAGUUUAGUUGGGGCGACUAUCUUCUAUAAUUAACGAAGAUAAACAAUAUUAAUAAAAUAAUUUAUUGUAUAAUUUUUAAAUUUAACAAUUAUUAAAGUAGGUUAUAAUGACCCGUUAUAAUUUAAUAACAAAAUAUAACGAUCAAUAAAUAAAAGCUACCUUAGGGAUAACAGGAUAAUUUUGUUCUAGAGAUCUUAUCGAAAACAAAGUUUGUCACCUCUAUGUUGAAUUAAGAUAUCCAAAUAAUGCAGAAGUUAUUAAGGGUAGGUCUGUUCGACCUUUAAAAUCUU
rnacentral:rRNA from 1 species